rnacentral:lncRNA from 1 species
CCUCUACAAAACAAAGCGCUCCUUCGUAUGCCCACUUCCCCUCAAACAAUGGGAGACCUUUUACAGCUGAGAAGAACUCAAAAUCCACUUUUAUUCUUACUUUCACUAAUCCUUUAAAAACACAUCUUACCUCCUCCCCAUAUCCCGUUUCUAUCUUAUAUUUCCUACUCAGAAAAAUUGACAUCUUAGCUUGUCCCCCCAAAAAAUUUAACAGUUGACAUUUUCUUUUCUGUUGCUUACUAUAUUGAAACCCCAAAAUAAAAACAGUGUUAUUGAAAAUCUCCCCUACAGCUUUAAACAAAGACUCCAGCAUUUCCAGAAGGUGACUGUUGACCCAGGGUUUAGAGUGUUCCCUCAGCAGUAGAAGGUGACUGUUGACCCAGGGUUUAGAGUAUUCCCUCAGCAGUAGAAGGUGACUGUUGACCCAGGGUUUAGAGUGUUCCCUCAGCAGUAGGUGACUGUUGACCCAGGGUUUAGAGUGUUCCCUCAGCAGUAGAAGGUGACUGUUGACCCAGGGUUUAGAGUGUUCCCUCAGCAGUAGGUGACUGUUGACCCAGGGUUUAGAGUAUUCCCUCAGCAGUAGAAGGUGACUGUUGACCCAGGGUUUAGAGUAUUCCCUCAGCAGUAGAAGGUGACUGUUGACCCAGGGUUUAGAGUGUUCCCUCAGCAGUAGAAGGUGACUGUUGACCCAGGGUUUAGAGUAUUCCCUCUCAUACACUAUGGCUUUUUUUUAUGUCUCUUGCCCCAUUUACGUUUAAAGAAGAAAUCUUAAAACUGCUCAUGGGUGAUAAAAAAAUACAGAGGAAGACCCAGAAACCACAUCUCUU